rnacentral:rRNA from 1 species
AUUGAACGCUGGCGGCAGGCCUAACACAUGCAAGUCGAACGGUAACAGGAAGAAGCUUGCUUCUUUGCUGACGAGUGGUGGACGGGUGAGUAAUGUCUGGGAAACUGCCUGAUGGAGGGGGAUAACUACUGGAAACGGUAGCUAAUACCGCAUAACGUCGCAAGACCAAAGAGGGGGACCUUCGGGCCUCUUGCCAUCGGAUGUGCCCAGAUGGGAUUAGCUAGUAGGUGGGGUAACGGCUCACCUAGGCGACGAUCCCUAGCUGGUCUGAGAGGAUGACCAGCCACACUGGAACUGAGACACGGUCCAGACUCCUACGGGAGGCAGCAGUGGGGAAUAUUGCACAAAGGGCGCAAGCCUGAUGCAGCCAUGCCGCGUGUAUGAAGAAGGCCUUCGGGUUGUAAAGUACUUUCAGCGGGGAGGAAGGGAGUAAAGUUAAUACCUUUGCUCAUUGACGUUACCCGCAGAAGAAGCACCGGCUAACUCCGUG